UACGUAGGGUGCAAGCGUUGUCCGGAAUUAUUGGGCGUAAAGAGCUCGUAGGCGGUUCGUCGCGUCGGCUGUGAAAUCCCGAGGCUCAACCUCGGGUCUGCAGUCGAUACGGGCGGACUGGAGUUCGGCAGGGGAGACUGGAAUUCCUGGUGUAGCGGUGAAAUGCGCAGAUAUCAGGAGGAACACCGGUGGCGAAGGCGACAUCCUGGGCCAAUACUGACGCUGAGUGAGCGAAAGCCAGGGGAGCAAACGGG
rnacentral:rRNA from 1 species